rnacentral:snoRNA from 1 species
AAGACUUCUUCGAAGAUCCUUAUACUGGUUUAACCAAUAGUAUAAUGAUUCAAAACGAAGCCAAGAUAAAUUUUUUUUCCAAAUUGGCCAAAUGCUUCUAGCUAUUUCCUGAAAAAAAAAAAUUAUGGGAUAGCACUUUAUCAUUCCAGUUUUUUUUUUAAAAAAAAAUUC